ensembl:lncRNA
AUUGUUAGCCAUCCCAUUAUCUCAUUAUGAAGACACCAUAACUCUGCCAUUUCCAAACACUCACUAAUGACCCUUCCUAGGACUUUCCACCGGGAACCCUCUGGGAAGAGCAGGCAACACGAUCCCUCGGCCUGCCAGGUGGUGAGUGGUGUGUGCACAGCUCUCUGCCCUGCUUCAAGAAGAGCUGACUGCAGGUGUAGACAUAGGCGGAGCCUGGGGCCUCGGAGGGCCUCAUCCACCCACAGAGCCCACGCCCUUCCUUUCUCCAUCCUACUGUGGUACAAACACCACCAUCCAGGAGGACAGCAACUUGGCAAGAUCUGGGCAAGCUUAACCAAACCACAUACAAUAUUUUGCACAAAGAAAGAGUAAUUAGGGCAGCAUGUACUCUCACAUGAAAUACUAGAUUACCCGGGAAGCCAGAGGGGUCCUGUGUCUAUCAGCAUUGAUUUGAUGUGUCAAGGAGAAACAAUGUCGUGUAGAAAAUGCAAUGAGGCAGAGCACAUAGUUAUGUAUUUAAAGCAUGCUUGGUUAUUUGCCGUUGGAAAUUUCUGUUUGGGAUGCCAAGGACAUUAUCGGGUGGCAGUUGACUACGUUGCAAUGUGACCCCCACCCUCCCUUCCUGUCCUUGGCUGAUCCUGCACUGCCAUUCCAUUUAUGAAAACAAAAGUGACUUUAAUGUGAGGGGGUAAAAGAUAAAAGAGAUCCUGCCAAAUAAUGGAAACAAACAACAACAACAAUAAUAAUAAUAAUAAAAAAAAACAAAAGCAAGCCCGUUUGGUGCCU